GAUGAACGCUGGCGGCGUGCCUAAUACAUGCAAGUCGAGCGAGAAUUUUUCAAAUGACACUUCGGUUGAUUUUGGAAAAGGACAGCGGCGGACGGGUGAGUAACGCGUAGGCAACCUGCCCCUGACAGAGGGAUAGCCAUUGGAAACGAUGAUUAAAACCUCAUAACGCCGAAGGAACACAUGUUUCAUCGGCCAAAGAUUUAUCGGUCAGGGAUGGGCCUGCGUCUGAUUAACUAGUUGGUGAGGUAAAGGCUCACCAAGGUGACGAUCAGUAGCCGACCUGAGAGGGUGAUCGGCCACAUUGGAACUGAGACACGGUCCAAACUUCUACGGAAGGCAGCAGUAGGGAAUCUUGCACAAUGGGCGAAAGCCUGAUGCAGCAACGCCGCGUGAAGGAUGAAGGCCUUCGGGUUGUAAACUUCUGUUCUUAGGGAAGAAGAAAGUGACGGUACCUAAGGAGAAAGCCCCGGCUAACUACGUGCCAGCAGCCGCAGUAA
rnacentral:rRNA from 1 species